UGGGGAAUUUUGGACAAUGGGCGCAAGCCUGAUCCAGCAAUGCCGCGUGCAGGAUGAAGGCCUUCGGGUUGUAAACUGCUUUUGUACGGAACGAAACGGCGAGCUCUAAUACAGUUUGCUAAUGACGGUACCGUAAGCAUAAGCACCGGCUAACUACGUGCCAGCAGCCGCGGUAAUACGUAGGGUGCAAGCGUUAAUCGGAAUUACUGGGCGUAAAGCGUGCGCAGGCGGUUAUGUAAGACAGAUGUGAAAUCCCCGGGCUUAACCUGGGAACUGCAUUUGUGACUGCAUAGCUAGAGUACGGUAGAGGGGGAUGGAAUUCCGCGUGUAGCAGUGAAAUGCGUAGAUAUGCGGAGGAACACCGAUGGCGAAGGCAAUCCCCUGGACCUGUACUGACGCUCAUGCACGAAAGCGUGGGGAGCAAACA
rnacentral:rRNA from 1 species